rnacentral:lncRNA from 1 species
GUUAUGAGCACCAGAAAGGUAGGUUCCCCACUGUCUGAGUUCUCCCAUUGCAAUUUCUCUUCGUUUACACACAAGACUACCUGGGUUCCAAUCUAGGAUCAGCCAUCCAGGGUUACUAGUAUGAUUUUGAACAAGGUGUUUCACUUCUCUGAGCCUAAGUUUCCUCAUCUAUAAAAUGAGAAAUUAGAUUCAAAUACCAUAGAGGCUCUUUAAAGAUCUUAUAUUCUGUGGACAUGAAGUUACCAAUAAACAUUGGGUCACAAAACUAACUACAUGUGUAUCAGAAACACCUUGGGGCUUUGAAAAAUUAUAGUUUCCAGGACCUCACCCUACUAAAUUUCUGGAGAGUGCACAGGAGUUUGCACUUUAGAAAACAGCCAUUCUAAUGUUUGGGAUUUACUGUCCUAGAUUCUCUAGGCUUUGUACUUUUUUUCCAAACUAGAAUGCAGGAAGUAGCCCUGGAGCACAUUUGCAUCAACCUUUAUUGGAUUUGAUUUAAGUUCAAUUAACUUGGCUUUUGUCAAGACUGAUGUAGAAAACAUGUACCAUUCAACAAAUGUCUAUUUCCUGGUAUUCAUCAUUUGCUGGUUUGGGUACCAAAACCAAAACAUGAAAUAUUACCUGUCCUGGGUUGCUUAUGUAUAAUGUAAGAGACAGAAAGAUUAAAAAAAAAAAAGUAAAAUAAAAUAGGUAGAAUGAUUGGGAAGAUACACAGGCUCUAUUAAGGGCACGCACACACAAAAAGACUGUGGGACCAGCCUUCCUGGUGUCAGAAUGUGUCAGAGGGAGCCCUCUUAGGCUGCAGAAAGGACUAUCGGAUAGGUAUUCCCAAAUAGUCUGCAGAACCACUUUGGAGGACCUAUCUCCUUAAUAUAUUUUUCCAUAUGGAUCCUAUAAGAAUUCCAUCCAGAAAACAAUGCUCCCCAUAAAGAACUUGUAUGUUUACUCUUUUUAGAUAUUGGCAACUGUAUUAACCUAUUAGUUGCUAUUUAUCUUGGGCUGCCAGGAUGCUCAGAACUGAGUUUGCAAUUACUGUAUACUUGCUUUCUGACAGUAACGUCCUCCUUUAUAUUUCUCCUGACUUUCCUUUUAUCUUUGACUAUGAGGCACUAUGGAGUAUGGAUACUGGAAUUGGACUUCUUGGUUUCAAUUCCCAGCUCUGUUCACUGGAAGCUGAAUGACCUUGACAAUUCAUUUAACCUCAGUUUUCUUAUCUUUAAAAUUGAGACAAAAAUUGUACCUGCUUCAUAGGGCUUUUGUAAGGAUUGGAAGAAUUCAUCUACAUAAAGCACUUGGGAUAGUGCCUGGCACAUGCUAAGCACCACACAGGUGCCAUUAAAUUUAUGGUUUAAAGUACCCUAUAUAUAUGAACUUGGCAUAGUACUCAAAUUCAUUUUGGAAAAGGCAUGGUAUAAAAGUUGUUUUUAAUCAAACAUUUAUUUUAAGUUACAGAAUUAUUACAUUCUUAUAACCAAUCUAAACAUUAAAGAAGUGAUUAUAGCCCCUCUCAAUCCAGGAAAUCACAACAUAGGAAAAAUCAAAAUGUUCCAUUUCCCUGGUUUUAGAUUCCUUAUCUAUAAAAUGUAGGCCCCCUACGAUAUAAUCUUCUUUCUAUCUUUAUUUGCUGAGAUUUUUGUUGAGCUUUUCUUUUAGUACUUCAUUAUACAAUAAAUAUAUAUAUAUCUAUAUAUAUAUAUAUACUAUAUAUAUAUAUGUAUAUAUAUAUAGUAUAUAUAUAUAUAUAUAUGUAUAGAUAUAUAUAGUAUAUAUAUAUAUAGAUAUAUAUAUACUAUAUAUAUAUCUAUACAUAUAUAUAUAAUAUAUUGAAUAGACAUUGAAUUUAAAUUUUGCAUUUUGUACACUUCCAAUUCUGAUAUGCUUCCCCCAGUGCCAAAUCACAAUACUGUCAGAAAUUAUCUUUCCAAAGCUCACCUGACAGUUUGAAAACUUAGUUUAUAUUAGUGUUAUGGUUUGCUUCUUUAAAAACUUGUCUGACAUAAAGUAUUUUAAAGUACCCUGCUUUAACUUGCUCAGAACAAUGCCUACUUUGGAGUUCCUUAUCAAUCAUCAGGUUGUUGUGAGGAUUUGAUGAUGUUUUGUUUUUGAUGUUACUUUCAUCUUGCAGAGCUCAAUAGGGUAAGAAGGUGGGGAUAGGGGGAUUCUAAAUUAUCUGCCAUCUUUAAUUGCCAAACUAUCCUGGAGAGGGGGCCCUGGAGAGAAAGCCAGCUUGCCCACAUCAGAUUUCUCUUUUUGCCCUAACAGUAUACACCUAUAUCCAGAGCCGGUUCUACCAAACCCCUGAGGUGAUUCUGGGUCACCCCUACAAUAUGGCCAUUGAUAUGUGGAGCCUGGGCUGCAUCUUGGCAGAGCUGUACACGGGUUACCCUCUGUUCCCCGGGGAGAAUGAGGUGGAGCAGCUGGCCUGCAUCAUGGAGGUGAGGAGGAAGGCCUGCUUGGUUGAUGUCCUUGGAUGGCUUCAGUCCUGACAUGGAGCUACAUCAGACUCAUCAAGGGCAGUGGCCUGCAUACUAUUUUUUUUUUCCUUUGGUCAAAGUUUCCCUAAAAGUGUUUUUGAAGUUACAUACUUCUUGUACAUUUUUGAGAACUAACAUUUUUAUUAUAAAUUUACAUAGUUUCAAAGGAUGCCAUUUCCCCCUUAAUGUAAAUUGUGACAUUUAAAAAUAAAACUGUUAAAGCAAUCUUUCAAAUAUAGCCAAAAGAAUUAAAAAAAAAAAAAGAGUGACCUAAUACCCACCAAAAUCUACCUUUAAAAGGACAUGAAUAAGUUCUUUAACAGUUGUACCUUUCUUUAACUCUUUUUCCUCCUUGAAUGAACUUUUUAAAUUCUACCUCAUAUAUAGAAUUUUAUUCUAAUUUAAUAUAGCUUUAUUUUUAAAUAUAUCAAUCACUAUAACUUCAAAUUUUUAUUAUCAUAAGCUCCAUGUGUAGAAUUUUUUUCUCAAGAGAUCACUAAAAUAGAACUAGUGCAUAAAUUAAGAUAAUUAGUAGGCAUAAAAUGUGAAAUUUUACUUCACAUUGUAUAUACCUCUUAGAAGAAUAAAUGGAGCUGAGUUUUCUCUUUUUCCCAUUAAUUUUUAUACCUGUAAGUGAACACUACUUCUUUUAAAAAAAUUUUUUUUAGUUGUUGAUAGACCUAUAUUUUAUUUAUUUAUAUGUGGUGCUGAGAAUUGAACCCAGUGCCUCACACAUGCUAGGCAAGUGCUGUACCACUGAGCCACAAACCCAGCCCCAACAUUACUUCUUGCUACAAUGAACAGGCUCAGGACCAGGCCAUUACAAUACAUUGAUUCCAAAGAUGUGAACCCAGGAAGGAAAGCUGUUCUAGUUAUGUUGUCUCAUUCUAUGACUUUUUUUGAAUUCUGUGUAACAGUUGAAUAAUGAUCUAUCAUCAGAAAUUAUUUUUAUCAACCUAUCAGCUGAAACAAAUAAUUGGAAAUUAUCUGACAAAAAAUAGGUAGCGUUCAGUAAUGACUUUUGCUCUUUUAACCUGGGAGGACUAUUUCCCAGUAAAAAGGCUUUACUAAGACUCAUCACAGGAUUAUUAAUCACAUCUCAUUUUUUUUUUCAAUGAAGUUUUCUUGUAGAGCUAAACUAGACAAAAUGGAGAAAAUAACUAAAAAUUUGAAAAAUUCAAAUUUUAGGAUUUUCCUAGUAAACUGAUAAAAGUUUGACCGUGAAUCUCUCUAAAUCAAAAGCUAAAUUUCUGUUUUCUAGAUUGUCUCAAAGUUAAUCAGUGACACAUGCCUUUGAGAAGUAUUAAAUAUAAAUGAUUUCAUUUGUUGUUUGAAACUAAUAAUAAAAUAUUAAAAUAAUUUAGAUGAAAAUAUCUAGAAAUGGUAACUAUGGUGGAAUCAACACUGGCCUGGGAGUUAGUAAGUUUGGGGUCUAGCCCUUGUUCUGACUUUUUGGCAAGUCAUUUCCCACUCUGGACUGGAAAAUGAAGGGGUCAGACCAGAUGACUUCUAAGGUUAGUAAUGAUUUUAUGAAAUAUCCCUGAACCAUUCCUGCUUCUAAUACCAAGGUGAAUGGGGCAUCUGGCUUGAGCUUCCCACUGCCCCAGGACUGACUCAGUUUCCCCUUGAUAUCUGUAGGGUUGAGGAGCAAGAAGGCAGGAUUGUGCAUGGAUUAUGGCCAGAAACCUAGGGCUGAGAGCAACCCAUAAAUUUCUUUAUCUGUACACUCCUAUAAGGUUCAGUAGAGAAAAGUGAAUAAGUAGGCCUACACUUUUCUUUCCAAGAAGGAAUUUAUCUUACAAGAAAUGCCUUCUCUGGUGAUUUGUAUCUCCUUUCCCUCCCUUCUCUUCCAGGUGUUCCAUGCUGGGGUGUGUCAUUCCUAAUUCAAUGUGAUCAGCAUGUACCGACAUUGAGAUCUGGCUGCUAUCAAGGUGGCUUGCCUUUGUUGGUGCUGAUGUAUGUUUAGAAUAGCAUGUGAAUCUUAAGAUACUGAGACAGCCCUGGAGACAUGAGCUCUGGGUCCGCCAUGCUACUGACUUGAUGUCAUCACUUAAUAUCCUCAAGUUCUUAUCUGUAAAAGGCAAAAUGUGGCCAAAGUCCCACCUAGCUCUUAACAGUCUUUGAAUCUGUGACUUCACCAAGAGUGAACCAACUAUGCUGUGCUUGUUGAAGGUGCUGGGUCUGCCGCCAGCCCACUUCAUUCAGAUGGCCUCCAGGAGACAGAAGUUCUUUGGUAAGUCCCCAAGUCUAAUCUCUUUAUCUCAUUGUGUCUAAUGAGGUGUCACAGGUCUUGAAGGUACUUCCCAUACCCUAAAUCUCAUAUUUUGCUUUUCUCCUGUCCCCAUACCAAAGGGCAGGAUGUGGUUUAGGAGCUUACAGGCAAUGAAAAGUGGUCCCAGAUGGCAUGCUGGAGAUGAGAUGGGUGAAAUCACAAGGGGAAUGGGUUCUUGGCAAUACAAAUGCAUUGGAGCAGGAGAAUGAUCAGGUUCCCACUCAGAAGACCAGUGAGAGAAGAGGGCUGUGGCUGCCUCAUCCCUGCAGUUGGCCCUUGCUCUGGAACACCCGACACAAGGCUGUUGAAGGCCCUGGUUCCUUGAACUGUUUUUUGUUACUGUUUGCAGUCAGUCACUUGCAAGCCAUCAUUUUACUUCCAACUGACUUAUAAAACUCUUUUUCUAUAAAGUAUAUUUAAUUUAUAUUUGAUGACUUAAAGAUGAUCAGUUAGUAAAGCUGUGCAUAGCCAAACUGCCCUUUCUUAUUCUACCUCUGUUAGCAAUUACUUUUUGUUAAAUGUUAGUCAUUGAUUUAGACAUUAAAAAAGCAAAGCAGUAUUAAAUUAUCUGCAAUUUAAUAUUUUUAUAAAGAUAUAUGUAAUUGCUAUAUUACUGUGAUAUUGGUUCCUAGGUAUUGGGGUGGUCAACUGCGGGGAGCCUUUGCAACCAGGAUGCUCUAUAUAUAAACAAAAAAUGUAUCAGGAGUUGGCUAUUUUACAAGUGUUUUUAUUUUUGUUUUAUUUUGUAUCAGAAAUUGAACCCAGGGGUGCUUAACCUUUGAGCCACAUCCCCAGCCCUUUUUAUAUUUUAUUUUGAGACAGGAUCUUGCUAAGUUGCUAAGGGCCUCGCUAAGUUGCUUAGGGUCUUGCUAAGUUGCUGAUACUGGCUUUGAACUAAUGAUCACCCUGCCUCAACUGUCCAGGUUGCUAAUUUUAAAGGCAUGCACCCUGUGCCUGGCCUUAUGAGUGUUUUUCCACUCAAACUGUCUACUGAAAGUCCCUAUAUUAC